UUGCUAUUUGAGUAUGGAUAAAAAUGUCAUAGUAAAGUAUGUUGAAAAUUUCAUAUUAAAGCGUAAAAAAAAUAAGUAGUCUAGUAUAAUAAAAAUGACAUAGUAUAGUAUGAUAAAAAUGACCUAGUAUAGUAUGAUAAAAAUGUCAUCAAAUAGUAUGUUAAAAAUUUCAUAUUUAAGCGUAAAAAAAAAUUGUAGUCUAGUAUGAUAAAAAUGACAUAGUAUAGUAUGUUAAAAAAAAACUCUUUUUUUUAAGUCUGAAAAGAAAAAAAAAAAUCAAAUUUUAGUAUGACGUAAAAAAUGCCAUACUAUAGUAUGAUAAAAAUGUUCACGUAUAAGUGUGAUUAAAAUUUACUAUUUUAGUAUGAUUAAAAAUGUCAUAGUAUGGUAUGAUAAAAUUUUCAUAGUAUAGUAUGUUAAAAAUGUCAUAUUUAAGUGUGAAUAAAAAAAAAUCUAAUUUGAGUAUAAAAACAGCCAUAGUAUAGUAUGAUAAAAAAUUCAUUUUUAGUGAAAAAAUGUCAUAGUAUUGAAGGUUAAAAAAAAGUCAUAGUGUGAAAAAAAAAAAGAAUAGUAAGUGUAAAAAUCAUAGUAUAGUUCAACAAAAAUGUCAUCGUAUAGUAUGAAAAAAAUGUCAUAUUUUCGUGAAAAACAAUAUCAUAGUAUAGUAUGAUAAAAGAAAGUCAAAGUAUAGUGUGAAAAAAAGUUAAAGUAUAGUAUGUUUAAAAAUCAUCGUAUAGUUCAACAAAAAUGUCAUAGUAUAGUAUGAUAAAAAUGUCUUAGAAUAGCAUGGUAAAAAUGUUAUAUUUUAGUGUGAGCUCAGGAGGCAGAGCGGUCGAUAAAAAUGUCAUAGUAUAGUAUGGUAAAAAAUAUCAUAGUAUAGUAUGAUAAAAAAAUAUCAUACUAUAGUAUGGUAAAAAAAUAUUAUAGUAUAGUAUGAUAAAAAAAUAUCAUAGUAUAGUAUGAUAAAAAGUGUCAUAGUAUAUUAUGAUAAAAAGAUAUCAUAGUAUAGUAUGAUAAAAAAUGUCAUAGUUUGGAAUGUCUAAAAAACUUCAGCAUAGUAAAAUAAAAAAUCAUAGAGAAGGAUGUCAAAAAUAUACUAUAGUAUGAUAACAUGAUAGUAUGAAUUACCCGGAGUGAACCCACGCAGACACAGGGUGAACAUGCAAACUCCACACAGAAACACGAGAAUAAGGGCAUUACUUUAUUAAUGCUGAGUUCUGGUGUCAGAUUUAGGACACAUGUCUGCUCCCAGACUGUAGUCCAACCAUUGAAUCACCCCUCGACUCCAGGAAUCAGACGAGCAUCAUUCGCCUGCUCUAACUGGCUUCAAGAAGGUGAAUGAGUGUAUAUCCCAAACUGUCUCAUUAAUACACUCAAACAUGAGCUUACCAUUGCAAUCAAUUACAUAACUGGUGGUUUAGAGUUUAUAUGUUUUUCAUUUUGCUCUAAAAACAUCAAAGAAGCGUCUCCUCCUGGGAUCUAUUACCAAAUGGCUUUUGUCUAGAAAGUCUAGCGCAGACGGCUCACUUUACGGCUCAUUAGCAACUUAAAAAAGAAAAACUUUCCAACUAAGUGCUCAUUUGGAUAAUUACCCAAAGGUAAACCUUGUUUUCUACAGUUACCCUAAAGCUGAAAAAAUACCCCAAAGCAAGCCGCCCUGAAAAAAGUAAUCUGUUUUAAAUAGGACAUUUAAAAUGUAGGGCUGUCUUUAAUUCUCUACAGCACAUUCGCUCUCUUAACAUUACUUAAACUCUAAGGGGAUUAUAAAUGUGCAGAUGAGUAAUCUUUAUGUGAUAAUGUGCCCCCACCAUAUCAUUUUAGUGCCCUAAUCUGACCCUGUUACAGAGAGAGAUUAGAGAAACCGUAGGGAUUACUCUGGACCAGGAUUGCACAUCUUGUACGGUGCCAUGAGUUAAAGGGAAACCAGUGAAGCUGCUACUCUCAGGGGCAGAUUUAUCCUCUUUUACAGCCUCAGCCCUUUAGAUUUAUCACAUAUGAUUCACAACAAUCUGCUAAAGCAAAUGUGUUCACUCGCAGAAUAACUCGUCUUCUCUGUAAUUUGAUCUCACCUGACCUGAGAUUUCACAUACUGGUUUAUCACAAAGGGGUCAUUCAUACUCUAAAAGGAAAAACCCUGAAUGAUCUUCACGUGCAAAAAACUACCUUCUGGUGUUUUCUUUGAAGAUGAAAAAAGAAAAGGAGAGGCCCCUGAACAUGCAUGCACCAGUGCAUACUCCAAAAGUGUGUGAGUGUGCACGCAUUUAGUCUCCUUUCCGAUCCAACCCGAGGGGAGGGGGAUCAUUGGAGAUGGGAUAAAGCUACCUCUAGGCCCCGAUUUGUUGUUUUAAGUGAAUACUCCUCUUUCUGCUCUUUUCUGAGGGAAUCGGGUCAGUACGUUCUAACAGGGUAUGUGAUAUUUACCCAGAGGCAGUUUGUACAAGACAUCCCACCAGAGUAGGGCUCAUUCACGGGGGUGGUGCAGCAGGGAGCCAAUAGGAGAAGCCCUUCCUAUUGAAUCUAAAGCAGAAACUAACAUUUCCCAAUCUGUCUGCUCCACUCUGUCAAGAUACACUGCGCUUGUGUUUGCACUUUUAGUCUCCAGUUUGUGUCACCGGGAUUUAUACGCUGUUUGUGUUCUGUGUAGGUUAAUGUAAGGGUCAAAAAUGUGUUUUUGCAAAGAAAGAGGGAGUGAAAAUGUAAACACAAGUUAGUAGAAAAAUAAAAGCAGAUAUGUUUCAGGUGGUUUUUUCAUUUUUCUGAUCUCUUUUACCAUUUUACCCUCUUCUAUCUGUCCUUUUGUCCGUUUUUUUUUCUUUCUUUCCCUGCCUUUGUAGCUGCAGAGCUAAUUCAAUAAAGCUGCCGGCCAUCAACUGCUAGUCAGCGCCAAACCAUGCAGAAACGUCAAGGAAAUGGCGUCCAAGGUAAACAGGCUGUCAGGCCGCAUAAGAGCUCAUGGCUGGAGACUGAGCCCGGGUCUGACUGGGGUGGACGCACUGCACCUCGGUGACCCAAACACGGGGGAACAGCAGCACAGCAAGCAGACACAACACCACACUGCAUCAAACCGAGCCCUGCAAAUAAAACUGUGAUAAUUAUAGCAGGAUGGAGAUCAAAACGUGCAGUCCAAGCUACAACCCUCAAGUCUGCAUACUUGCCUGGCGUUGGUUAUAGCAGUCUUCGCCACAAGCCUCAGUCUGGAGUCUGCCAGCUGCAGUCACUUUUGCACAGUGCUGUCCAACACCGAACAAAGUGAAAACCCAGAUUGUGUACUAACGAAGCGCAUUAGACUGGAAAUGAGGUAUUAAAACAAACAAGAUACGAGCAAGAUAAGGUUAAAAUAAGGAAACACAAUUCAAAAAGGAAAUUCAACAAACAGAACAAUGUAAAGGGUCGACUUUAAAGGGAUAUUCCGGCGUAAAAUUAAUUUAGGGCCAAACACACCAUAACACAGAGUUAGACAUCCCUCGAGAGAUGAAUGUUGCUGACCACUUGCUUCUCCAGUUAUACCAACUUUAAUAACGACCGCAGGAUAACAAUACACAGCGGUCUGAGGAGCCAUAAACAAACCUCAACCAAAACGCCACUCUAUAGCCACAAAUAAUGAUCAGAACAGCACCUAACUUCAUCAACAGUACAUAUAGGGUCCCAGCCACAGCACUGGCCACCAAACAUCUCUAAUUUCUUUAACAAAGAGACUAAACACAACUCACCUACUCUCUUCCAGCAGCCGCUUGUUUGUAGUGAGACCUUGGGCCAGUCCAUUGCGGACUACAGCGGGGUGACACAGCUCAAGGAAGAACAUUUAUGAUCAUUUCUUCAUGGAAAUGCAAUCAGACCGAGACGCUAAGGCAGAAGAACUAGAAGAAAGUUGGUAUAACUAGAGAAGCAAGCACUCUUGGGGGUGUCUAACUCUGUGUUACGCUGUGUUUGACCCUAAAUUUAUUUUACGCCAGAAUAUCCCUUUAAGACCUGUUUUUGUUUCCUCACGCUCUAAUUCCUUAUUCUCACUUCUAUGUUUCCCUCAAUAAAGACGAGUCAAGAGAGAGGUGAUUUUCCCUGUGAACUCAAGAGCACGUGACGGUUUGAAAUGCCAAUCAAUGAAGCCUAAUAGAAGCCGAACAUUUCAGUGAGAGGCAAAAGUGGCAGAUUGAUUUACUGACCUGAGUCGCUGCUCGUGCAUGCACAAAAAUUACACUUAGUCAUGCAGCAGAUCAUUGGACAUGAGAGCAGGUCAGUGUCAAAGGGUCAGGAGAAGUUUUUGGCUUAUACUGACGUAUUUCUAUGUUUCGGUUCUGUCCUGCAAAAACAUAAAAGUUCCUCUUAAAAAGAAAAUAAUGAUGUUGGUAAAACUUGGAGUGACAUGGGACAAAAUUUUGAUGAACUGAACGGAGGUUAUACAUAUUUAUUGAAUCAUAUGUUGCUGUGUUUUCUGGCUGCUAAUGUUCCUUUCCUGUCUUAAAUGGCCUUAAAUGCCUUAAUGGAUUAAGAAUAGUAGGUCAGAGAGCACAGAGGAGAUAAAAGACCCAAGAGUAUUUCCACACAGUUCCCGGAACCAAAGCAGUCUCAGAGCCGGUGUAAUUUACCUCUUUGCAGGUGGUGAGCUCUGCUUGGUGCUUCUUAGGAUCAGAGGUUUUAGAGCGCAGAGAUGCUUUAGACACUAAAUCAUGUCUACAUGUGGAAGAAAUGCCACAGUGUGAUGAAUUUGGGACAAUUUUGCAUGGGCUUAAUCAUUGUCAUACCACUUUUUAAAAGCUCUGAGUCCUGCAUAAAGAGGUAAUUUCGGUCCUGAGGUUUAAAAGCUUAAUGAUGCUUUUUGCAUUAGGCAGAGAAGCAUAAACUAAUUAUGCAAUAAUUUCGCUUAGUUGAGACGAUCCACCGGGGAAUUUGAACAAUUUUAAUUCCUUGGUUUAAAGUGUAAACAGAGCUGGUGUCGGACAUAAUUGCGGCGCCUGGCUGCUGUAAUUCAGCUGUCGGGUUUGUUUCAAACAUUAAGAAAGGAAGUCAUCGGCUCGGCGUGAAGAAAAGUACAAAAGUGUUAUGACUACUUCUAACACAUUCAGAUGAUGACGGCUGAGAUUUGGUCGCACUGGGGUGGCAAAAAUAAAAGCUCACAAGCUGAAUCAAAAAUAAAAAAAAGAGGAAAUGCCAUUUGAAUAAAAGGAAACGGAGGCUUAAACUUUUAAUUUAAUAAAACAUCUAAAAACAUCCUGAAGGUGAAUUUCACAACAGUCCAGACCUCCAAACCAACAAAUAGUCUUUUCUGUCUUUGUAACAUCACUUCCAGUUUAAUCUUUAGAAGACUUUCCAAAAUCAAAACUUUAUUUAAUUUACACACGUUUGGUCCCUCAGGCUACACAAAGAGUCAAAGGACACGGUGGUAUCAGGAAUUUAUGAGCUGGCCUUGUAUCCUCUUUUCAUACAGGACGCCAUUUUCCAUUAACGAUGAACCUGAAGUGUGUUUUUUCAUUUCAUGUUGGCUGUUUUUAAGUGUGUACUGAGUGAUAGAGGUCGAUUUUAUGAUUGUUUUUAACAUAGUGAUCGUAUAGAACUCAGUGGAACUACAUAGCAGCAUGUUUGACCCCAAAGAAUGACCACUCCCCAGUUCUGCUUGUUCAAACAGAGUCAAGUAUCAUUUUCCACAAUGUUCCUCACAUAAAUAUUGAGACAAUAAAAUCUAAACAUUCUGCUCUCAAACCUCAAGCUCUACGCUUUUUUUUCCGACGAGAUUUACAGUAACUGGCAAGAAUCGGAGGUGUAACUAUACUGACUGCAUUGUUCAAGGAUGGAAAUUUCCCAACAAACCCUGAGGUCCUACCGUCAAACACAAACUUUAAGUAUACAAAUGCAGACCCACAAGAUGUUUGCCUCAAAGAUGGAAAUUUAAUUUAUAUAAUGUGCAGUUUCUUCAAGGACACACAGCAAAUCAUAAUACAUGAGAUUUAAUGUCUGCAGUCAUGAUAAAAACUCCACCAGGCUGUUUUUAAGAUAGAGAAUGGGGUUCAUUUACUGCUACAUUAAAGCUCCUAUAAGGAGUUUUUUAAAUAUGAAAUUCAUAUUAAUGCAUUUUCAUGAUAUAUAAAAGCAGGGAUCAAUCUUGAUCUUGAUCAGGGACAAGAUUGAAGAUUUUCUUGUCCUGAUUUUUAAUCAGCACGAGGAGGUAGGUGUCGGUGUUUAAGCAGAUUUUUUUUUUUUUUUUACAACUUCCACAUCUAUCUAUCUAUCUAUCUAUCUAUCUAUCUAUCUAUCUAUCUAUCUAUCUAUCUAUCUAUCUAUCAAAUAUUCACAAUAAGUGGCACAUUUGACUGUAAAAGUCAACAAGAUGAGAUUUUUUUGGUCAGAAGUCAAUACUCAGGCAUGUAAAGAACAGGAUAAAGUGACCAUUGACAAAAAAAAAAAAAAAGUUCCUCACAGGAGCUUUAAGUUGUAGUAGCUGUUCUGCAGCAUACAUUUACUUCUACUCCUGUCACAUAUAUGAUGGGAGCUGUACUUCUUCUUUGUUAUGUUGGACUGUAUACCUUUUUGCUACUUUCCCUUGUCGAUAAUUUAUUUUUUGGUUUAGUAAUCUUUCAACACUCAGCUGAGAUCUCACACAGUAAUACUCUAGUUUGAGAGUACACUUGAGAAAAAGUGGUAUCUUAAAGCUCGCUUUAUGUGAUUAAUGUGUUUAACACGUAUUUGUUGUGUUUGCAGUAUCAGCUCUAUAAAAUCUACUCUCUUUGUGAGACAGGUGGUUUUCAGGAGGUUAAAAUCUGUGUGUUUCGGUGUAUUUUUAGAGACUGUCUGGAUCCAAUCCCUUCAAAAACAAAGAUGAUCUGUGAUGACUUUUGUAUUAAUUUUUCACUGCUGUUACAAGCUUGCUAUGUUAGAUGGAGUCUACCAUCUCUAAUCUUUACAUUGUUACAAGCUAAUGGGUUCCAAUACAAUAGAACAUCAAGUUAGUUAGUUAGAUAAUUAGUUAGUUAGCUAGUUAUUUAAUACUUUAUAGUCAGAAUCUCUUGACAGGUUGCUGGUAGGCGGGGUUUCAGCCACACCUGGGAGUUACUGGCCAGUCUCUCAGGAUAUAAAAGACCAGCCUGCUGAACCACUCUCUCUCUCUCUCUCUCUCUCUCUCUCUCAGAUCCUCAGCAGAUCGCUCUGUGGCAGCAGGGUUUUUGUUCAGUUGGCUUUGGCCUCCUUUGGAUUUCGGUUCUGCACUUUACAACAUGCUGCACAUAAACGCACAUCUUUCUGACUAACUCACGCACACAUCUCAUCUGUUUUUGUUGGUAAAAUCAUUUAUUUCCGUGACACUUCAUAAAGCAACAUUUUUACCUUGGCACUUUUUGUGCUAACUCCAACCACCACAGCAUGCUCUGAGCUAAAUGCUGACACGCCACCACACUCACAGCGACAAAGCAAGAAUAGAGGAUCAAUCCUGUUGAUAACAUUUUCCUAAAAAGGAAAAGAAGCUCGAUUCUCUGCAUACCAACAAGGUUGUGAUGACAUGAUGACGCUCGCAGCACAAUGGAAGGCAUUUCUCUCUAAACCAAAGUGCUGAACAGUUUUUGUGUUGAUAUUUAGCUUCUUAACGUUUGAAAUCCUGAUUGAAAUAAUAAAAUUCCUCCUGGGGAGAUCAUGAUCAUCCGCAGCAAAUUUCAAGGCAAUCCAAGCAAAAGUUAUCAUACCGGCAUGCCAACUUCACUGUAGCGCUGAAGCCAAAGUAAUUAAAACUGCUAAGUCUGUACAAUUUUCUGCCAAAAGAUGUUGAAAUAUUUUACUGGAUAAGUGAAAAUUUUCAGAAUAAUGAAAGCGCUAAAUGGAAAGUCAAGGAUCAUCCGUUUUAUCAGAAAAGGACAAAGAUGUUUGAGCCAAAAGCCAGAGUAACACCGUCUCUCUCAAUGUCACACAGCUAGAAUAACUGAAAAUAUUUGUUCUCUGAAAUUACAGGACAAAGAGCGAUCAUUCGAAAACUGCUGAAGAGCCGGUGGGAUAAUACAUUUCACAAAACUCCAACUGAUGUCGAUUUAGAGACAGAUAGAAUAACCUUCCACACAAACGACAAGCUCAAUU
rnacentral:lncRNA from 1 species